rnacentral:rRNA from 1 species
AGAGUUUGAUCCUGGCUCAGAACGAACGUUAGCGGCGCGCCUAAGACAUGCAAGUCGAGCGAGAAAGGGCUUCGGCCCCGGUAAAGCGGCGCACGGGUGAGUAACACGUAGGUAAUCAACCCUCGAGUGGUGGACAACUCUCCGAAAGGAGAGCUAAUACAGCAUGACGGAGCUACCUUCCGAGGUAGUUUCCAAAGCGGGCCUCUUCUUGAAAGCUCGCGCUCGGGGAUGAGCCUGCGGCCCAUCAGCUAGUUGGUCGGGGUAAUGGCCCACCAAGGCUAAGACGGGUAGCUGGUCUGAGAGGAUGAACAGCCACACUGGAACUGAGACACGGUCCAGACUCCUACGGGAGGCAGCAGUCGGGAAUCUUCCGCAAUGGGCGCAAGCCUGACGGAGCGACGCCGCGUGAGCGAUGAAGGCCUUCGGGUUGUAAAGCUCUGUGGGGAGGGAAGAAUAAGCGCUGGUUAAUAACCAGCGUGAUGACGGUACCUCCUUAGCAAGCACCGGCUAACUCUGUGCCAGCAGCCGCGGUAAGACAGAGGGUGCAAACGUUGUUCGGAUUUACUGGGCGUAAAGCGUGUGUAGGCGGCUUUGCAAGUCGGAUGUGAAAUCCCACGGCUCAACCGUGGAAGUGCAUCCGAAACGGCAUCGCUUGAGUCCCGGAGAGGAAGGUGGAAUGCUUGGUGUAGAGGUGAAAUUCGUAGAUNUCAAGCANAACACCUGCGGCGA